UACGAAGGGUGCAAGCGUUACUCGGAAUUACUGGGCGUAAAGCGUGCGUAGGCGGUAUGUUAAGUCCGUUGUGAAAGCCCUGGGCUCAACCUGGGAAUUGCAGUGGAUACUGGCGGGCUAGAGUGCGGUAGAGGAUGGUGGAAUUCCCGGUGUAGCGGUGAAAUGCGUAGAUAUCCGGAGGAACACCGGUGGCGAAGGCGGCUUCCUGGACUGACACUGACGCUGAGGCGCGAAAGCUAGGGGAGCAAACGGG
rnacentral:rRNA from 1 species